UCGACUGUUUACCAAAAACAUAGCCCUAAAAAAAAAUUUAAGGUGAGACCUGCCCAGUGAUUAUAAUUUAACUAAUUAAAAAUAGAAAAUUAAUCAAACGGCCGCGGUAUCUUGACCGUGUUAAUGUAGCACAAUAAUGUGUCGUUUAAUUGGCGAAUAGUAUGAAGGGUUUAACGAAAAUUUCACUGUCUUAAAAAUAAUAAAAAAAAAUUGAAAUAAUAGUUAAGAUGCUAUUUAAAACUAUAAGACGAAUAGACCCUAUAAAGCUUAACUAUAAAUUAUAUUCGAAAAAAUGUAUAAUAAAUACAUACACAAUAUAGUUAGGUAGUUUAGUUGGGGCAACGACAUUUUAAUAUUAAAGAAUGUAUACAAAAUACAUAAUAAAAUUUAUUUAUUGUUCGAUCAAUAAAUCUAACAAUCACAAAGUGGGUUAUAAUGACCUGUCAAUAUAACAAAAAAUAAUUGACAAUCAAUAAAUAAAAGCUACUUUAGGGAUAACAGGUUAAUUUUAUCCAAAAGACGUUAUUAAAGAUAAAGUUUGACACCUCGAUGUUGAAUUAAGGUAUCCAGGUGGUGCAACCGCUACCAAAGGUAGGUCUGUUCGACCUUUAAAACCUUACAUGAUUUGAGUUCAUUCCGUA
rnacentral:rRNA from 1 species